AUGGGGUCCCAGGCUCCGCUCCUCAGCUUUCUACUCCUCUGGAUCUCUGAUACCAGGGCAGAAACGACACUCACACAGUCUCCAGCAUUCAUCUCAGCAGCUCUAGGAGACAAAGUCACCAUUACCUGCAAAGCCAGCACAGACAUUGAUGAUGAUAUGAGCUGGUAUUAUCUGAAACCAGGAGAAGCUCCUAUGCUCAUUAUUAAAGGUGCUUCUACUCUCCAUUCUGGGGUCCCAUCCCGGUUCAGUGGCAGUGGGUAUGGAACAGAUUUUACUCUGACAAUUAAUGGCAUAAAAUCUGAGGAUGCUGCAUAUUAUUUUUGUGGACAAGAUGAUAAUACACCUCUCACAGUGAUACACCCUGUUACAAAAACCUCCACAUGCUGUCGGUGGAAUUGCCUCAGCUGCUACUGA